rnacentral:tRNA from 1 species
GCUCCAGUGGCGCAAUUGGUCAGUGUACAGUACUUAUAAUGCUGAGUUUGUGAGUUCAAGCCUCACCUGGAGCA